rnacentral:ncRNA from 1 species
AUAAAGGCAAUGACCGUGUAAGUAGUGAGCCAUUUUCCGAUAGAGAGAGGGAAUCAACAGGCUGAAAGUUCCCUUGGGUUCAGAUGGUAAAUGAAUUUCCCGCGUGAGCUGUGUUCUUGAAAUAACAGUAGAGAACGCCGUAUGAUGCACGUUACGCAAUAAUGAGUGUCCGUAAAAGUUUUUACGGGAAUCAGGGUGGUACCACGGGUUAUAUGUCUCGUCCCUUUU